GCUGUGAUGGCCGAGUGGUUAAGGCGUCUGUCUUAAGUCAGAUUAACAGAUGGAAUAUUCCGCGCAAGUUCGAACCUUGCUCACAGCA